AGAUGGCGACCGGCGCACGGGUGAGUAACACGUAUCCAACCUGCCGAUAACUCGGGGAUAGCCUUUCGAAAGAAAGAUUAAUACCCGAUGGUAUAAUCAGACCGCAUGGUCUUGUUAUUAAAGAAUUUCGGUUAUCGAUGGGAUGCGUUCCAUUAGGCAGUUGGUGAGGUAACGGCUCACCAAACCUUCGAUGGAUAGGGGUUCUGAGAGGAAGGUCCCCCACAUUGGAACUGAGACACGGUCCAA
rnacentral:rRNA from 1 species